CGGAGUGGACCACACAGACAAAAUGCUAUAGGAUGGGGAUUGUAAAGAGCAUACAUUAAAGUCUCUCCUGAGAGCUUUAAAAUAUGCCAUGCUCAGGCCACAACACAGACAAAUUAAAUCAGAACCUCUGGGGGUGAGAGGACAAUUCCCUAAGGAAUGACGGACCAACAAGAUGAAAAGUAGCAGGAUCCUGGAAGGACUGGAACAGCUGCCAACUGGACUCUCAUCACAGACUUGGCGAAAGACUUGGGAAUUAUCCGUCCUCUGUUGGAGGAGGAGCUCUCUGCCCAAGCAUCCUAAACCUUCACCCUCUAUAAUAGGCCAUUCAUUUAAGGUGCACAAUGACCCAGAGAGUUGGCUACUAUUAUUAUUCCUGUUUCACAUGUAAGGUUACUGAGGCUCAGAGAAGGCUGAAUAAUUUGCCCAAAUCUAUCGCUGAACCGCCCUAAAUGGACCCAAUCUUACAAGCUUGCUUGGUGCUUGGAUGGGAGGCUGCUUAUCACUGCCAGAAGCCCGAGGCUUUACAAUAAUAAUAAAUUCACCCACAAUUCCCAAACCAUGUGGUGCAAACAACAUCAGAAGCCAGAUUCCUUCAGCUCUAAAGAACACACACAAGUUCUGACUCACAAGUUCCAGGGCUGAGGCUGAGAAUCUGCAUUUGUAUAAAGCUCCUCUGUUACAGUUUGGAUUAAAAAUAAAAUGUGCCCAC
ensembl:lncRNA